UGUACGGGAGGCAGCAGUGGGGAAUAUUGCACAACGGACGAAAGUCUGAUGCAGCAACGCCGCUUGGAGUAUUACACAUUUUGGUGCGUAAACUCCUUUUAUAUGAGAAGAUAAUGACGGUAUUAUAUGAAUAAGCACCGGCUAACUCCGUGCCAGCAGCCGCGGUAAUACGGGGGGUGCAAGCGUUAUUUGGAAUCACUGGGCGUAAAGAGCAUGUAGGCGGAUUAAUAAGUUUGAAGUGAAAUCCUAUAGCUUAACUAUAGAACUGCUUUGAAAACUGUUAAUCUAGAAUGUGGGAGAGGUAGAUGGAAUUUCUGGUGUAGGGGUAAAAUCCGUAGAGAUCAGAAGGAAUACCGAUUGCGAAGGCGAUCUACUGGAACAUUAUUGACGCUGAGAUGCGAAAGCGUGGGGAGCAAACAGGAUUAGAUACCCUGGUAGUCCACGCCCUAAACGAUGUACACUAGUUGUUGUGAGACUUGAUCUUGCAGUAAUGCAGCUAACGCGUUAAGUGUACCGCCNGGAGACGGACU
rnacentral:rRNA from 1 species